rnacentral:rRNA from 1 species
GAUGAACGCUGGCGGCGUGCCUAAUACAUGCAAGUCGAACGAAACUUCUUUAUCACCGAGUGCUUGCACUCACCGAUAAAGAGUUGAGUGGCGAACGGGUGAGUAACACGUGGGCAACCUGCCCAAAAGAGGGGGAUAACACUUGGAAACAGGUGCUAAUACCGCAUAACCAUAGUUACCGCAUGGUAACUAUGUAAAAGGUGGCUAUACUACCGCUUUUGGAUGGGCCCGCGGCGCAUUAGCUAGUUGGUAGGGUAAAGGCUUACCAAGGCAAUGAUGCGUAGCCCAAUUGAGGGGUUGAUCGGCCACAUUGGGACUGAGACACCGCCCUAACUGCUACCGGGGGCAGCAGUAGGGAAUCUUCCACAAUGGGCGAAAGCCUGAUGGAGCAACGCCGCGUGGGUGAAGAAGGUCUUCGGAUCGUAAAACCCUGUUGUUAGAGAAGAAAGUGCGUGAGAGUAACUGUUCACGUUUCGACGGUAUCUAACCAGAAAGCCACUGCUAACUACGUG